rnacentral:lncRNA from 1 species
UGCUCUACCUGGGACUCGCCGGCGCGGGUGGAGGCACAGGCGCAAUUUGGAGCCUCAGAGGUUACGCAGUCGCGCCCUCUCGGAGACCCUGGGCUCCAGGCCGCUCGGUCCAGGAUCAUCACCGUUACGCGCAUGGAUGCUGCGGCGACGGGUCAGGUCUCAGAGCCGUGACAGGACUGAAGUGCCUUAGAAGACGGAUCUCGGCCCCUCCCGGACCAGUGCGGAGCAGCAGAUUGGCCUGUCCUGGACGUUCCUGGAAGUGGAAUCAUACAACACGUGGUCUUUUGCAACUGGCUGCUCUCUGUCGGCAUCAUGUCUUCAAGGAUCAUAUGUAUUGUGGCAGGUGUCAAAGCCUUGCUCCUUCAUACGGCUGAUGGACGUCCCGCUGCCCGGAUGGACCACCUUCCGUGAUCCAGUCAUCUGUUGAGGGACACCGGUUUGUUCCCAGCGUUUGGUCACUGGGAAUCACACUGCUGGGAACGUUCACACACAAGUUUUCGUGUGAACACGUUUCCUUUCUCUUGGGCAUGUAUCUGGCACGGGAAUUGUUGGGUCACACGGCAACUCCGUGUUUCGCCUUUCAGGAAGAAUCUUUUUGAAGGUUGAAUUUGGGCAUUUCGGAAU